GAUGAAGAACGCAGCGAAAUGCGAUAAGUAAUGUGAAUUGCAGAAUUCAGUGAAUCAUCGAAUCUUUGAACGCACAUUGCGUCCGCUAGUAUUCUGGCGGGCAUGCCUGUCCGAGCGUCAUUUCAACCCUCAAGCCCCCGGGCUUGGUGUUGGGGAUCGGCGAGCCUCCGCGCCCGCCGUCCCCUAAAUCUAGUGGCGGUCUCGCUGUAGCUUCCUCUGCGUAGUAGCACACCUCGCACUGGGAAACAGCGCGGCCACGCCGUUAAACCCCCAACUUCUGAACGUUUGACCUCGGAUCAGGUAGGAAUACCCGCUGAACUUAAGCAUAUCAAUAAGCGGAGGA
rnacentral:misc_RNA from 1 species